rnacentral:tRNA from 1 species
GCCGGGAUGGCGAAACUGGUAGACGCAAAGGACUUAAAAUCCUUCGGCUGGCAACGGCUGUGACGGUUCGACUCCGUCUCCCGGCACCA